rnacentral:rRNA from 1 species
GGGUGAGUAACGCGUAGAUAUCUGCCUUGGACUCUGGGAUAACAUUUCGAAAGGGGUGCUAAUACCGGAUAAGCCCACGGGGACGUAAGUUCUUGCGGGAAAAGGGGGCCUCUGCAUAUGCUCUUGAUCCAAGAUGAGUCUGCGUACCAUUAGCUAGUUGGUAGGGUAAGAGCCUACCAAGGCGACGAUGGUUAGCUGGUCUGAGAGGAUGAUCAGCCACACUGGAACUGAGACACGGUCCAGACUCCUACGGGAGGCAGCAGUGGGGAAUUUUGCGCAAUGGGGGAAACCCUGACGCAGCAACGCCGCGUGAGUGAUGAAGGCUUUCGGGUCGUAAAGCUCUGUCUAGAGGGAAGAAAUGAUAUUGGGUUAAUACCCUGAUUUCUUGACGGUACCUCUGAAGGAAGCACCGGCUAACUCCGUGCCAGCAGCCGCGGUAAUACGGAGGGUGCAAGCGUUGUUCGGAAUUAUUGGGCGUAAAGCGCGUGUAGGCGGUUUGUUAAGUCUGAUGUGAAAGCCCCGGGCUCAACCUGGGAAGUGCAUUGGAAACUGUCAGACUUGAAUACGGGAGAGGGUAGUGGAAUUCCUAGUGUAGGAGUGAAAUCCGUAGAUAUUAGGAGGAACACCGGUGGCGAAGGCGGCUACCUGGACCGAUAUUGACGCUGAGACGCGAAAGCGUGGGUAGCAAACAGGAUUAGAUACCCUGGUAGUCCACGCCGUAAACGAUGAGUACUAGGUGUUGCGGGUAUUGACCCCUGCAGUGCCGCAGCUAACGCAUUAAGUACUCCGCCUGGGAAGUACGGU